rnacentral:lncRNA from 1 species
UAGACUUUAUUUAAUACUUCUAAAUAAUAAGAUUAUCUUUGAUGCGAUCUCUUGGCACCAGAAAACGAACGCACGCAUAGGCAUGAUAGUGCAACAUGAGCAAAUGACGUAUGAAACAUCUCAUUGAUUAAGAAAACCUAAAUCACAGUUGCAACAUCACAGAAUCUCAACUACAACUCCACAAAAUCAAGGUUGAAACAUCACAAAGUCGCUGGUGAAACAUCGCAAAUUCAUGGUUGAAACACCACAAACUAUUGCAACAUCACAGUAUCGCAACUGCAACUUCACAAAGAUUUGAAACAUCACAAUUCGUCACCGAGAACGUAGAGAAGGUCGCGGCGAGCGGCCCCCAUGCCGGAAAAGGCGCGCGAAGGGCGCGGUUGGGGGUGAGGUCGACGACUACGCGUGCAGCACCUGCAGGUGGCGGCGGGCUUGGUCCGGGGAGCGCCGCGGCCUCGCCUCCGAGCCCGCCGGAGUACCGCCGCGCGCAGCCCUCCUGGCAGCUUGGCGGAGCAACGCCGCCCUCUCACUGCGCCAUCGUAUACCAGCCCGGGUGGCCUGCCUCUCCCCACGCGCUCGCGGCACUCCACCUCUCCAGUGCGGAUCCAGUCGACACGGGCGGCUAAGGCGGCGCGGCUCGACCGGUCCAGGCGGCAGCGCUCGAUUCCUCAGAUCGGCGAGGCGAUGGCGCACACGAAAUCACGGCGGGCGACGGUCUCCUUCCGUGGCGGCGCAAAAUCCCUCAACACGGCAGAGGCAGGGCAUCCCUCUCCCAGUGGCGCUCGACCUCCUUGCGCGGGCGCGUGAGAUCCUCUGCUCGGCCGCCCGGAGCUGCCCCGCCACGGCCGCCGCCUGGAGCUCCUCCUCCGCCGGCCCCGCCGCGCGCGCCUGCGCCCGCCAGCCUCGCCGAUGCGCCCCGUGCUCGCGUGCACUGCGCAGCAGAGAGAUGUGCGCACGGUGGUGUGGGUGAUUUUUUCCCUGGUGAAAGGAUAAGGUAUAACCGUAGGAGAAAAAGGAUAAAGUGAGAGGGAGGGCACGUCACCG